UCAUGGGUUUUUCUCAAAACCAACAAAAUGUUAAUAGAAAAAUGAA
rfam:Drosophila grimshawi strain TSC#15287-2541.00 scaffold_15110 genomic scaffold, whole genome shotgun sequence.